rnacentral:rRNA from 1 species
AUUGAACGCUGGCGGCAGGCCUAACACAUGCAAGUCGAGCGGAUGAGAGGAGCUUGCUUCUCGAUUCAGCGGCGGACGGGUGAGUAAUGCCUAGGGAUCUGCCUGGUAGUGGGGGACAACGUUUCGAAAGGAACGCUAAUACCGCAUACGUCCUACGGGAGAAAGCAGGGGACCUUCGGGCCUUGCGCUAUCAGAUGAGCCUAGGUCGGAUUAGCUAGUUGGUGAGGUAAUGGCUCACCAAGGCGACGAUCCGUAACUGGUCUGAGAGGAUGAUCAGUCACACUGGAACUGAGACACGGUCCAGACUCCUACGGGAGGCAGCAGUGGGGAAUAUUGGACAAUGGGCGAAAGCCUGAUCCAGCCAUGCCGCGUGUGUGAAGAAGGUCUUCGGAUUGUAAAGCACUUUAAGUAGGGAGGAAGGGUUGUAGAUUAAUACUCUGCAAUUUUGACGUUACCGACAGAAUAAGCACCGGCUAACUCUGUGCCAGCCGCCGCAGUAACAC